GGAAAGUAAUGAUUAAUAGUGAUAUUAAAUUACCCAUUACUUUUGUUUUGUCCCCUAUUUUUGGAAUCCUAACUCUGGUUAAUAUAUCUCUCAUGUCAUCAUUAAUAAUCCUGAUCCUAAGACCAUUUGGUUUACAUUAACAUUGUGAUAGCUAAAGCUAUUUAAAUAUAUUUAGUAAAGUAAAAAUAUUUAAUAAAGUAUUUAAAUAUAUUUAGUAAAUAAAUAUUAUGGCAACCUCAGUUUCAUUUAGUGGUUGUGAUAAAGAAGAUGGCAUACUAAGGGCGUAUUUGCCUGUUUUGAAUUUAUUUCAUCUGCUUAAAGCAACAGACAAUGCUGAUUAUGCAAGCUAUGAUUGUUUUGCUUCAUGCAUCUUCACUGCAAAUGUCAGCUUCGUGAUAAGCAGAAGCAGUCCAUAGACACACAGCCCUUUAUUAAAUACCUAUUCUAAUUAUAUGACACAGUCAUAAAUGAUAGAAUAUUAUAUGUAUUAUGUAUUAUAAUACAUAAUUGUUUUAAUUCUUAUAUAUUUGUUUUAAUUUUUUUUGUGCAUCUUUCAGCGAAUAGAAAUGGGAAAGUUUCAAAUAUAUUUAGGUGGAAAUAUGGAAUUGUUUUGUUUGAAGUUUUUACGCUAGAAGUACGCUUUAUCCUACAAUAAGUAAUCGUGGGCUACUGGAGUUUUUAAAGUCUGGUUGCAGGAUGGAUCGACCAGAAAAUUGUUCUCAACCUAUGUAUGAUAUAAUGGUACAGUGUUGGAGUGACGAUCCUUUACAGCAACCCACUUUUACAGAGUUAUGUAAGCUUUUUGACGGAAUAAUUGCUGGAGGUGACAGUUAUUUGAGUUUUGAUAUUAACGAAGAAAAUAGUUAUUACAAAGUACCCUCAAUUUACAACAAGUCUUUUAAAACAUAUUUUGGAAAAAGAGUUUCUAGAAACAUCGUUUUAAGUUUAAAAUUUGUUUGAAAGAAAGUUAUUCAUGAUAUUUACGAUGUUUGAAAUGUUUGUUUUCUUAAAGUAUUUUUUAAAUUUUAUUUCAA